rnacentral:lncRNA from 1 species
AUGGGGCACUACGCGUUUCUAUGGGUCUCUGUGGGUCUCUGUGGGGCACUGUGGGUCUCUCUGUGCGGCUCUAUGGGGUCUCUAUGGGGUCUCUAUGGGGCUCUAUGGGGCGCUAUGGGGCACUUAGGGGUCACUGUAGGCUCUCUCUAUGGGUCUCUGUGGGUCUCUAUGGGGCAUUAUGGGUCUUUAUGGGUCUCUGUGGGUCUCUGUGGGGCAGCUAUGGGGCACUAUGAGUCUCUAUGGGGUCGCUAUAGGGCUCUGUGGGUCUCCAUGGGUCUCUAUGGGUCGCUAUGGGUCUCUAUGGGGCACUACUCUAUGUGUCUCUAUGGGUCUCUAUGGGUCUCUAUGGGUCUCUAUGGGGCAGCUAUGUGGCUCUAUGGGUCUCUGUGGGUCUCUAUGGGGCUCUAUGGGGUUCUAUGGGGCAGCUAUGGGUCUCUAUGGGUCUCUAUGAGGCUCUAUGGGGCGCUAUGGGGCACUGUGGGGCUCUAUGGGUCUCUAUGGGGCUCUAUGUGGCUCUAUGGGGCACCAUGGGGUUCUAUGGGGCAGCUAUGCUGCGCUAUGGGGCANNNNNNNNNNNNNNCUGUGGGUCUCUAUGGGUCACUGUGGGUCGCUAUGGGUCGCUAUGGUGUCCCUAUGGGUCUCCAUGGGUCUCUAUGGGUCGCUGUGUGUCCCGCUAUGGGUCUUUAUGGGUCGCUAUGGGUCUCUAUGGGUCUCUAUGGGUCUCAAUGUGUCUCUAUGGGUCGCUAUGGGUCUCGAUGGGUCUCUGUGAUCUCUAUGGGGCGCUGUGGGUCUCUAUGGGUCUCUAUGGGGCAGCUAUGUGACUCUAUGGGUCUCUAUGGGUCCCUAUGGAUCUCUGUGGGUCUCUAUGGGUCUCUAUGGGUCUCUAUGGGGUCUCUAUGGGGCAGCUAUGUGUCUCUAUGUGUCGCUAUGGGGCUCUAUGGGUCUCUAUGGGGCAGCUAUGGGUCACUAUGGGGCAGCUAUGUGUCUCUAUAGGUCUCUAUGGGGCACUAUGUGUCUCUAUGGGUCUCUGUGGGUCGCUAUGAGGCAGUUAUGGGUCGCUAUGGGUCCUUAUGGGGCUCUAUGGGUCUCUAUGGGGCUCUAUGGGUCUCUAUGGGUCUCUGUGGGGUCUCUAUGGGGCGAUAUGGGGUCGCUAUAGGGCUCUGUGGGUCUCUAUGGGUCGCUGUGGGUCCCGCU